rnacentral:rRNA from 1 species
AUUGCCCUAGUAACGGCGAGUGAAGCGGCAACAGCUCAAAUUUGAAAUCUGGCUUCGGCCCGAGUUGUAAUUUGCAGAGGAAGCUUUAGGCGCGGCACCUUCUGAGUCCCCUGGAACGGGGCGCCAUAGAGGGUGAGAGCCCCGUAUAGUUGGAUGCCUAGCCUGUGUAAAGCUCCUUCGACGAGUCGAGUAGUUUGGGAAUGCUGCUCAAAAUGGGAGGUAAAUUUCUUCUAAAGCUAAAUACCGGCCAGAGACCGAUAGCGCACAAGUAGAGUGAUCGAAAGAUGAAAAGCACUUUGAAAAGAGGGUUAAAUAGCACGUGAAAUUGUUGAAAGGGAAGCGCUUGUGACCAGACUUGCGCCGGGCGGAUCAUCCGGUGUUCUCACCGGUGCACUCCGCCCGGCUCAGGCCAGCAUCGGUUCUCGCGGGGGGAUAAAGGUCCUGGGAACGUAGCUCCUCCGGGAGUGUUAUAGCCCGGGGCGUAAUGCCCUCGCGGGGACCGAGGUUCGCGCAUCUGCAAGGAUGCUGGCGUAAUGGUCAUCAGCGACCCGUCUUGAAACACGGACCAAGGAGUCAAGGUUUUGCGCGAGUGUUUGGGUGUAAAACCCGCACGCGUAAUGAAAGUGAACGUAGGUGAGAGCUUCGGCGCAUCAUCGACCGAUCCUGAUGUUUUCGGAUGGAUUUGAGUAGGAGCGUUAAGCCUUGGACCCGAAAGAUGGUGAACUAUGCUUGGAUAGGGUGAAGCCAGAGGAAACUCUGGUGGAGGCUCGCAGCGGUUCUGACGUGCAAAUCGAUCGUCAAAUCUGAGCAUGGGGGCGAAAGACUAAUCGAACCAUCUAGUAGCUGGUUACCGCCGAAGU